UACAGAGGGGGCAAGCGUUAUUCGGAAUUAUUGGGCGUAAAGGGCGCGUAGGCGGCUUGGCAAGUGGAUGGUGAAAUCCCUCGGCUUAACCGAGGAACUGCCGUCCAAACUGCUUCGCUUGAGACCGGGAGAGGUGAGUGGAAUUCCCAGUGUAGCGGUGAAAUGCGUAGAUAUUUGGGGAGGAACACCAGUGGCGAAGGCGGCUCACUGGACCGGUACUGACGCUGAUGCGCGAAAGCGUGGGGAGCAAACGGG
rnacentral:rRNA from 1 species